ACUAAACAAAGAGUUCUAGAAGCCUGCACGCGAUCAAUCUUACUUGCCAAAAGGUCUGACAGCCAUGCCCCCACAACACAUUUAAACCUUCUAACUCUACAUGCGAAUCAAAUCCUGGCGGAACGAGAGGCUCCAUUAGGCUACAGAGUUUUGCCUCUGUUUGUCUCGCUCAUAAACACAGACUUAAAGUCAGACAUCCACUUUCAAGGAGCAGUAAUUUGCUAUCGAAGAGCACUGCUGGAGGCCUAUAGGAGACUGUCACUACAAUGGAUGGAAUUGCUUGCACUUUUCACAUAAUGCAAGACUGCAGGAAAUGAUGGUUCACCACUCAUUAAAUAUAUGCAUAUUAA